GACGAACGCUGGCGGCGUGCUUAACACAUGCAAGUCGAGCGGUAAGGCCCUUUCGGGGGUACACGAGCGGCGAACGGGUGAGUAACACGUGGGUGACCUGCCCUCAGCUCUGGGAUAAGCCUGGGAAACUGGGUCUAAUACUGGAUAUGACUCCACGGUGCAUGUCGUGGGGUGGAAAGCCUUGUGCGGCUGAGGAUGGGCCCGCGGCCUAUCAGCUUGUUGGUGGGGNGAUGGCCUACCAAGGCGACGACGGGUAGCCGGCCUGAGAGGGCGACCGGCCACACUGGGACUGAGACGACGGCCCAGACUCCUACGGGAGGCAGCAGUGGGGAAUCUUGCGCAAUGGGCGAAAGCCUGACGCAGCGACGCCGCGUGAGGGAUGACGGCCUGGU
rnacentral:rRNA from 1 species